GACGAACGCUGGCGGCGUGCUUAACACAUGCAAGUCGAACGAGAAUCUGUGGAUCGAGGAUUCGUCCAAGUGAAGCAGAGGACAGUGGCGGACGGGUGAGUAACGCGUGAGGAACCUGCCUUUCAGAGGGGGACAACAGUUGGAAACGACUGCUAAUACCGCAUGAUACAUUUGGGUGGCAUCAUCUGAAUGUCAAAGAUUUAUCGCUGAAAGAUGGCCUCGCGUCUGAUUAGCUGGUUGGUGAGGUAACGGCCCACCAAGGCGACGAUCAGUAGCCGGACUGAGAGGUUGACCGGCCACAUUGGGACUGAGAUACGGCCCAGACUCCUACGGGAGGCAGCAGUGGGGAAUAUUGGGCAAUGGGCGCAAGCCUGACCCAGCAACGCCGCGUGAAGGAAGAAGGCUUUCGGGUUGUAAACUUCUUUUAAGAGGGAAGAGCAGAAGACUGUACCUCUAGAAUAAGCCACGGCUAACUACGUGCCAGCAGCCGCGGUAAUACGUAGGUGGCAAGCGUUGUCCGGAUUUACUGGGUGUAAAGGGCGUGCAGCCGGGAAUGCAAGUCAGAUGUGAAAUCCAUGGGCUUAACCCAUGAACUGCAUUUGAAACUGUAUUUCUUGAGUACUGGAGAGGCAAUCGGAAUUCCUAGUGUAGCGGUGAAAUGCGUAGAUAUUAGGAGGAACACCAGUGGCGAAGGCGGAUUGCUGGACAGCAACUGACGGUGAGGCGCGAAAGUGUGGGGAGCAAACAGGAUUAGAUACCCUGGUAGUCCACACUGUAAACGAU
rnacentral:rRNA from 1 species